rnacentral:rRNA from 1 species
AAAUUGAAGAGUUUGAUCAUGGCUCAGAUUGAACGCUGGCGGCAGGCCUAACACAUGCAAGUCGAACGGUAACAGGAAGCAGCUUGCUGCUUCGCUGACGAGUGGCGGACGGGUGAGUAAUGUCUGGGAAACUGCCUGAUGGAGGGGGAUAACUACUGGAAACGGUGGCUAAUACCGCAUAACGUCGCAAGACCAAAGAGGGGGACCUUAGGGCCUCUUGCCAUCAGAUGUGCCCAGAUGGGAUUAGCUUGUUGGUGAGGUAACGGCUCACCAAGGCGACGAUCCCUAGCUGGUCUGAGAGGAUGACCAGCCACACUGGAACUGAGACACGGUCCAGACUCCUACGGGAGGCAGCAGUGGGGAAUAUUGCACAAUGG